UGUUGCUUGCAAGGGCGUAUGGUGGAUGCCUUGGCAGACAGGACCGAUGAAGGACGUUUGAGGCUGCGAUAUGCCUCGGGGAGCCGCCAACAGGGCUUUGAUCCGAGGAUUUCCGAAUGGGGGAACCCACCGACCGUCAUGGGUCGGUACCGGCUUCGGCCGGGGGGUACGCAGGGAAGUGAAACAUCUCAGUACCUGCAGGAAAGGAUAUUCCGUGAGUAGUGGCGAGCGAAAGCGGAUGAUGGCCAAACCUUGCGCGUGUGAUACCCGUCGGGGGUUGCGCGCGGGGUGUUGCGGGAUCGCGUGCGCCGGCUCCGACGGGCCGGCCGGCAGUUGCAGAAAACCAUGUGUCAGGGGAACCGGGUUGAAUACCGGGCCGCAGAGGGUGAGGGCCCCGUACCUGAACGCGCAUGGUCUGCCGAUCGCGUCUCCCAAGUAGCACGGGUCCCGUGGAACCCCGUGCGAAUCCGCCCAGACCGUUGGGUAAGCCUGAAUAUUCCUGUCUGACCGAUAGCGAACGAGUACCGUGAGGGAAAGGUGAAAAGUACCCCGGGAGGGGAGUGAAACAGUCUCUGAAACCGUGCGCCUACAAUCCGUCGGAGCCCUUUUGUGGGGUGACGGCGUGCCUAUCGAAAAAUGAGUCUGCGAGUCAGUGGCAUGUGGCGAGCAUAACCCGUGUGGGGUAUGCGUAGCGAAGGCGAGUCUUAAAAGGCGUUUGAGUCGCGUGUCCUGGACCCGAAGCGGGAUGAUCUAGCCCUGAGCAGGUUGAAGCGCGGGUAAGACCGCGUGGAGGACCGAACCCACCUGGGUUGAAAACCGGGGGGAUGACUUGGGGCUAGGGGUGAAAGGCCAAUCAAAUUCCGUGAUAGCUGGUUCUCUCCGAAAUGCAUUUGGGUGCAGCGUCGGGUCAUUACGUCCCGGGGGUAGAGCUACUGGAUGCUUGCGGGCCCGUAUCGGGUACCAACAGCAACCAAACUCCGAAUACCGGUGACGCGUAUCCCGGCAGUGAGUCGGCGGGGGAUAAGCUUCGUCGUCGAAAGGGAAACAGCCCAGACCGUCGUCUAAGGUCCCGAAGCGUGUGCUAAGUGGGAAAGGAUGUGGAGUCGCAUAGACAGCCAGGAGGUUGGCUCAGAAGCAGCCACCCUUGAAAGAGUGCGUAACAGCUCACUGGUCUAGUGGUUCCGCGCCGACAAUGUAGCGGGGCUCAAGCACACCACCGAAGACGCGGCAGUAUUUUGUACUGGGUAGGAGAGCGUCCCAUGAGGGGCGAAGCGGCCGUGUGAACGCGCCGUGGACUUCAUGGGAGUGAGAAUGCAGACAUGAGUAGCGAGAGACGGGUGAAGAUCCCGUCCGCUGGAUGACCAAGGGUUCCAGGGCCACGUUCAUCGUCCCUGGGUGAGUCGGGUCCUAAGGCGAGGCCGACAGGCGUAGUCGAAUGGAUGAACGGGUCGAUAUUCCCGUACCGGCUUUCAGCCGCCAAAACCGAGGCUUGGAGUACUAACCUCCGGGUCCGGGCUUACUGCUCCUUCGGGGGCGGGAUGCCCUGGCCUGUUGGGACCGAUCCUUGUAGUAGGUCAGCGCAGGAGUGACGCAGAAGGGUAGCCGGCCGCGGAGGUGGUCUUCCGUGGUCAAGCACGCAGGGCGUGGGACAGGCAAAUCCGUCCCGCAUGGGUCCGAGGUGCGAUGAUGGGGGCCUUAUGGCCCGAUAUCCGGUGAUCCCGGCUGCCGAGAAAAGCUUCGGCGUCAGGCUCAAAGCCGCCCGUACCCCAAACCGACACUGGUGGUCAGGUAGAGAAUACCAAAGCGAUCGAGCGAAUCCUGGUCAAGGAACUCGGCAAAUCACUCCCGUUCCUUCGGUUUAAGGGAGACCCCCGAUGGUGAACACACUUGCUGUGGGAGCUUUUGGGGGUGGCACAGACCAGGGGGUAGCGACUGUUUACCAAAAACACAGGUGCAUGCGAAGGCGCAAGCCGCUGUAUAUGCACUGACGCCUGCCCGGUGCCGGAAGGUUAAGAGGAUCCGUCAGCCUUCGGGUGAAGCGGUGAAUUCAAGCCCCGGUAAACGGCGGUGGUAACUAUAACCAUCCUAAGGUAGCGAAAUUCCUUGUCGGGUAAGUUCCGACCUGCACGAAUGGCGUAACGAUCUCCACACUGUCUCGGCCAGAGACUCGGUGAAAUUGCAGUCGCGGUGAAAAUUCCGUGUACCCGCAGAAAGACGGAAAGACCCUGUGCACCUUUACUAUAGCUUGACAUUGGAUUUUGGGCCUGCAUGUGUAGGAUAGGUGGGAGGCUGUGAACCCUGUACGCCAGUAUGGGGGGAGCCAUCCUUGAAAUACCACCCUUGCAUGUUUAAGAUCCUAACUUCUUCCGGUUAUCCCGGAGAAAGACAGUGUCUGGCGGGUAGUUUGACUGGGGCGGUCGCCUCCUAAAGUGUAACGGAGGCAUGCAAAGGUUCCCUCAGCCUGAUCGGAAACCAGGCGCUGAGUGCAAACGCAUAAGGGAGCUUGACUGUAAGAGAGACAUCUCGAACAGGAACGAAAGUUGGCGUUAGUGAUCCGGUGGUCCCGAAUGGAAGGGCCAUCGCUCAUUGGAUAAAAGGUACGCCGGGGAUAACAGGCUGAUCGCAUCCAAGAGUUCACAUCGACGAUGCGGUUUGGCACCUCGAUGUCGGCUCAUCACAUCCUGGGGCUGAAGUAGGUCCCAAGG
rnacentral:rRNA from 1 species